CGCUCUUCGCCGCAAUUAGCAUGAAGAGUCCUGCCUGCCCAGUGACUAAACUAGUUAAACGGCCGCGGUAUCUUGACCGUGCGAAGGUAGCAUAAUCAUUUGUCUCCUAAAUAGAGACUGGUAUGAACGGCAAGACGGAGCUUAACUGUCUCCUUUUCUUCAUUCCGAAUUUCACCUUCCCGUGAAGAGGCGGGAAUAAAAUCGCUAGACGAGAAGACCCUGUCGAGCUUAAACUAACACACAGCUUUUAUUUUUCUUCAAACUCUGCUAAUUAAUGAGCUUACAGAUAAUCCUAGUUUUGAAGACUAUGUCUAGUUUUGGUUGGGGCAACCACGGAGAAAAACUAUCCUCCGUUAUUAAGCUUUAAAAAUUUUCCAAAGAGCUACAACUCUAAAAUUAUUACUUAUGAAAGUAUGAUCCGCUAAGGCGAUCAAAGGAACAAGUUACCGCAGGGAUAACAGCGUUAUCUUUUCUGAGAGUUCACAUUGACGAAAAGGUUUGCGACCUCGAUGUUGGAUCGGGACAUCCUAAGGGUGCAGAAGCUUUUAAGGGUUGGUCUGUUCGACCAUUAAAGUCCUACGUGAUCUGAGUUCAGACCGGCGAAAGC
rnacentral:rRNA from 1 species